GUCAGGCCCAUUAGGCCCGUCAGACCCCGGCCCACCAGGCCCGGGACCGUAGUGUGCUUAGGCCCGUCACGGGCUGGUCCCAACCUGGAGGACCGCCAGGCCGGGGACCGCCAGGCCGGGGACCGUGAGGCCCGGCCCGUCAGGAACAAAUAGGCCCAAAACCGGGACACCAUACAGCCUUAAUUGAAAGCCAAGCUUGUUUGUAGGUUCCCCAUAGCAAAAAGUGAUCACCAUGCCCAAGUGUGAUAGCAACAAUGUUCUGCUCCUUUUAGAUUUGAAACUGUUAAAAGGAUUACCCAAUUGUCGUUGUCAUCUCGGAGCCCCAUCUGUAUUGAGUUUAAAGGAAUAAGAAUAGUAUUGGGUAAGAAUUUAUGGGUGCAGAGUUUUAUUCAUAAGAAGCUUCUUUAGCCAAACGUGAGGAUGAGUGUCCUACUUUAUUUUAUUGAUUAAAUUUUAACCAGCAUUGAAGAAUAUGUGGGGAAUAGUCUCAGCCCACAAACAGUGCAUAGACAAGUAGGGAGGAUUCUUAAUCAAUGGAGGUAAACAUGUGUUCGUAGCUUAAAUAGCCAAAGUAAAAUUUUUUAUUUUUGGUAAAGUACGUAGUUGUUGGGUGCUUCGUUACAUUUUGUAGCAACAACUAAUGGAGAAUUUUCCUGGCAAUGUGGAUCCCCAGAUGAGGCGAUCAAGGUUGGAAAAGUAGUAUUGCAUGAUUUGUUGGAAGAUAGAUGUUGACAA
rnacentral:lncRNA from 1 species